CGUUGAAGGUGUUACACCUCGCGCUUUGCCUGACUUACCUGUUGCUUGUCGUCUAUCCGGAUUAGAGCCAUUAACGAUUGAGAAAGAGACUUUGUUCAUCAAUGUCGGUGAGCGAACUAACGUCACAGGUUCCGCUCGCUUCAAACGUUUGAUCAAAGAGGAACAGUAUGAUGAAGCAUUAGAAGUCGCGCGUCAGCAAGUUGAAAAUGGUGCCCAAAUCAUCGACAUCAACAUGGAUGAGGGGAUGUUAGAUGCACAGGCUUGUAUGGUGCGUUUUCUAAACCUAUGUGCCUCUGAACCAGAAAUUUCCAAAGUACCAAUCAUGGUCGACUCUUCCAAAUGGGAAGUGAUCGAAGCGGGUCUGAAAUGCAUUCAAGGUAAAGGCAUUGUGAACUCUAUCUCUUUGAAGGAAGGUAAAGAGAAGUUUGUUGAGCAAGCUAAACUGAUCCGUCGUUAUGGCGCAGCUGUGAUCGUCAUGGCAUUCGAUGAGGUCGGUCAGGCAGAAACACGCGCGCGCAAGCUAGAAAUUUGUACCAACGCUUAUCGUAUCUUGGUAGACGAAGUUGGCUUCCCGCCAGAAGAUAUUAUUUUGACCCGAACAUUUUGCCGUUGCAACGGGUAUUGAUGAGCAUAAUAACUACGCUGUUGAUUUCAUCGAAGCGGUAGCGGACAUCAAACGCGAUCUGCCACACGCGAUGAUUUCCGGAGGUGUGUCGAAUGUUUCUUUCUCUUUCCGUGGCAAUAACUACGUUCGUGAGGCUAUCCAUGCCGGUGUUCCUCUAUCACUGUUUUAAAAAUGGUAUGGAUAUGGGAUCGUAAACGCGGGUCAACUUGAAAUUUAUGACAACGUUCCGGAAAAACUACGAGAAGCGGUAGAAGACGUAGUGCUUAACCGUCGAGAUGACGCUACAGAAAAGAUUGUUGGAUAUCGCGGCUGAGUACGCAGAUAAAAGGCGUUGGCAAAGAAGAAGAUGCCUCUGCGCUUGAGUGGCGAACUUGGCCUGUCGCGAAACGCUUAGAGCAUGCGUUAGUUAAAGGGAUCACAGACAGCCAUCAUUUAAAGAAAGCGUAAUAGCUCACUGGUCGAGUCGGCCUGCGCGGAAGAUGUAACGGGGCUAAGUAGUAAACCGAAGCUGCGGCAAUAUACUUUUGUAUAUUGGGUAGGGGAGCGUUCUGUAAGCGGUUGAAGGUGUGUGGUAACGCAUGCUGGACGUAUCAGAAGUGCGAAUGCUGACAUGAGUAACGAUAAAGGGGGUGAAAAACCUCCUCGCCGGAAGACCAAGGGUUCCUGUCCAACGUUAAUCGGGGCAGGGUAAGUCGACCCCUAAGGCGAGGCCGAAAGGCGUAGUCGAUGGGAAACGGGUUAAUAUUCCCGUACUUCUUACAAUUGCGAUGGGGGACGGAGAAGGCUAGGUGGGCCUGGCGACGGUUGUCCAGGUUCAAGUGCGUAGGCUUAAGAGUUAGGUAAAUCCGGCUCUUUUUAAGGCUGAGACACGACGUCGAGCUACUACGGUAGUGAAGUCAUUGAUGCCAUGCUUCCAGGAAAAGCCUCUAAGCUUCAGAUUGUAAGGAAUCGUACCCCAAACCGACACAGGUGGUCGGGUAGAGAAUACCAAGGCGCUUGAGAGAACUCGGGUGAAGGAACUAGGCAAAAUGGUACCGUAACUUCGGGAGAAGGUACGCUCUCGACGGUGAAGUCCCUCGCGGAUGGAGCUAUUGAGAGUCGCAGAUACCAGUGGCUGCAACUGUUUUAUUAAAACACAGCACUGUGCAAAAUCGUAAGAUGACGUAUACGGUGUGACGCCUGCCCGGUGCCGGAAGGUUAAUUGAUGGGGUUAGACUUCGGUCGAAGCUCUUGAUUCGAAGCCCCGGUAAACGGCGGCCGUAACUAUAACGGUCCUAAGGUAGCGAAAUUCCUUGUCGGGUAAGUUCCGACCUGCACGAAUGGCGUAAUGAUGGCCACGCUGUCUCCACCCGAGACUCAGUGAAAUUGAAAUCGCUGUGAAGAUGCAGUGUACCCGCGGCUAGACGGAAAGACCCCGUGGAACCUUUACUACAGCUUGGCACUGAACAUUGACCCUACAUGUGUAGGAUAGGUGGGAGGCUUUGAAGCACGUACGCCAGUAUGUGUGGAGCCGUCCUUGGAAAUACCACCCUUUGUAGUGUUGAUGUUCUAACGUCGACCCCUUAUCGGGGUUGCGGACAGUGCCUGGUGGGUAGUUUGACUGGGGCGGUCUCCUCCCAAAGAGUAACGGAGGAGCACGAAGGUGGGCUAAUCACGGUUGGACAUCGUGAGGUUAGUGCAAUGGCAUAAGCCCGCUUGACUGCGAGAAUGACAAUUCGAGCAGGUGCGAAAGCAGGUCAUAGUGAUCCGGUGGUUCUGAAUGGAAGGGCCAUCGCUCAACGGAUAAAAGGUACUCCGGGGAUAACAGGCUGAUACCGCCCAAGAGUUCAUAUCGACGGCGGUGUUUGGCACCUCGAUGUCGGCUCAUCACAUCCUGGGGCUGAAGUCGGUCCCAAGGGUAUGGCUGUUCGCCAUUUAAAGUGGUACGCGAGCUGGGUUUAGAACGUCGUGAGACAGUUCGGUCCCUAUCUGCCGUGGGCGUUGGAAGAUUGAAGGGGGCUGCUCCUAGUACGAGAGGACCGGAGUGGACGAACCUCUGGUGUUCGGGUUGUGUCGCCAGACGCAUUGCCGGUAGCUAAGUUCGGAAUCGAUAAACCGCUGAAAGCAUCUAAGCGGGAAGCGAGCCCUGAGAUGAGUCUUCCCUGAUACUUUAAGUAUCCUAAAGGGUUGUCGGAGACUACGACGUUGAUAGGUCAGGUGUGUAAGUGCUGUGAGGCAUUGAGCUAACUGAUACUAAUUGCCCGUGAGGCUUAACCAU
rnacentral:rRNA from 1 species